rnacentral:rRNA from 1 species
AGCAGCCGCGGUAAUUCCAGCUCCAAUAGCGUAUAUUAAAGUUGUUGCAGUUAAAAAGCUCGUAGUUGAAUUUCGGAAUCUGUCCGUUGGUCGGGCUUAACUGUCCGUACUGAUGUGAUGGGUUCUUACCUUCUGAAUAACCAUCAUGCCAUUAAUUUGGUGUGUUGGGGAAGCAGGACUAUUACCUUGAAAAAUUAGAGUGCUCAAAGCAGGCUAGCGCCUGAAUACAUUAGCAUGGAAUAAUAAAAUAGGACGGCAUGGUUCUAUUUUGUUGGUUUCUAGGAUCACCGUAAUGAUUAAUAGGGAUAGUUGGGGGCAUUAGUAUUCAAUUGUCAGAGGUGAAAUUCUUGGAUUUAUUGAAGACUAACUUCUGCGAAAGCAUUUGCCAAGGAUGUUUUCAUUAAUCAAGAACGAAAGUUAGGGGAUCGAAGACGAUCAGAUACCGUCGUAGUCUUAACCAUAAACUAUGCCGACUAGGGAUCGGAC